rnacentral:tRNA from 1 species
GCUUCAAUAGCUCAGUUGGGAGAGCGUCAGACUGAAGAUCUGAAGGUCACUUGUUCGAUCCAGGUUUGAAGCA